UCUCCAUAAUGUUCCAAUUGAUCCUUCUGAACCUUCAAUAUGUACUCACUAAAAGGGUUUCUGAGGAGAUGCUUUUCCUGAGAGA